CUGGCUGUUUUAACAUGUGUUUUCUUGUACUAGAUAACAAAUAGAGCUUAAAGCUAAAAUUUAUAUAACCAGUAAACAGUAAGCUACAAUGUGGUCCAAUUGGUCCCUGUCGUCAUUUGAUGCUUGCCUUUGGAAUGGAUGAUGUGCAUGGCCCACCAGAUGUCAUAAAUGGUAUGCCCUUAAAUGUGGCCACACCCUUGUCAUCGGUGAAAAGAUUCUGCACCCAUGAAAUGCUCAUGAUCAAAAACCAUAACGAAAGAAUUCAUAUACUAACUAGAUGAGAAGGCAAUAAUGACACAAGCCAUGGCCACAGCAUUCAUGUGCAGUACAGAGAAACCAGUUCACCCACCCAUCAGUGCUGUCAAAUCUCCUCUUUUAAGACGACAAGCACUAAAGACAGAAAAAAGUUAUUAUUCACAAACUAUAAAAACAAGACAAACUAUAAGUCGUUACUUCCCCGCUGCUGUUCAAAAUUUGUCAUAUCUACUAAGAACUAGGAAGGAAAUAUGACUGGUGUAGUCCUUAAUUUUAACUUUUGGCAUGCUCAUUGAAUCACAUCAUCUAAUUAAUUGAUAUUUACCUGCAGUGGGCCACAGAACCAAACAGAAAACUACAAAUGGCCAACUAACGCCAAUUCAUUCACCCAUACUUUUUCUGAGUUCUAUGGAACAUGAUCCUAAUUAACAAGAAGAUGACCGAGAAGUUUGAUAGAUAAGGUGCAGGUUAAACUGAAUAGGCAGACAACAUAAAAUGAACCCAGCUCAUAACAAGAAAAACAAAAGUUCGAACCACAUACC
rnacentral:lncRNA from 1 species